UACGUAGGGGGCGAGCGUUAUCCGGAAUUACUGGGCGUAAAGCGCACGCAGGCGGCUCGCCAAGUUUGGAGUGACAGUUGUCGGCUCAACCGACAAAGGACUUCAAAAACUGGUGAACUUGAGGACGAGAGAGGAACAUGGAACUCCAGGUGUAGUAGUGAAAUGCGUAGAUAUCUGGAAGAACACCAAUGGCGAAGGCAAUGUUCUGGCUCGUUUCUGACGCUCAGGUGCGAAAGCCAGGGGAGCGAACGGG
rnacentral:rRNA from 1 species